AUGGAACAAGUAGAAUGUCGCAUGAGUGGAAGUGUAGCCGGCUUAUUAUCCAGGGACACAGAGAAGGAGCUGAGACCUCCUGGAGGUCUCAGGAAAGCCCAGUGCCCUCCGGGACUCCUCAGUAGGCUGGAGAACACCCACAGGAUAAUGCAAAUAGAAGCGUCCGUGCUCAGCACUCCUCAGUCCACCUGGUUAGCUACAGAGCAACAAUGUCAUCUGCAGGGUUUCUACACAGGACUCCAGCUCCUAAUGAAGAGGGGAAAAAUGUUUCCCACGGCAGUGGAGCUGUGCAUGGUCCCAGAUCAAGGGCUCUUUUCAGGUUGCCUGAAGUUCUUCAAGAGCAAGAAACAGUUUGGAAUUAAGGGUACCAAAUCUUGUGAGACAUUUUGUUUUGUGUUUUUUUAAAUGGAAAACAAAGGUGAGCAGACAAAUGCAUAACAUUUCAUCAGAAAAGGAAACCAAACCCUUGGUCAAAAAAGUGAAUCAGCAACAGUUAACUGAGAGGAGGUGUCUUAAAGAUAAUCCCAUUAUCCUCAAAGUAUCUCUGAGUUUGAGGCACCAGAUUUAUGGACUGCCAUCUCCUAUAUGAAAAGAUAAAGGGAGAAUAAAUCUAUGUUUACAUUCACAACUGGGCCAGAGGAUCCAGUUUUCAUUUGAUUUGAACAAGUAGAAAACGUUCAUCAGGAUUUAACCAAAAUAGUGCAUAUUGAUUUAAGUUAGUCAAUUAAAAAAUUGGCAAAAUGACAGAAUUGCUCCAUAAGUAGCCGUGCCACACACCUGAAUACACACAUCAUGUUCAACAAGCAAUUAUUUCACUUUACUCUCUGUGCCAGUGCAUGUUUGCUUUCAGAACGCUGCAGGUAUGAUAAGAAGCUUAAUGUUCUGCUUUCUAUGUAGCAUUUUUACUGAUGCCCAUGAAAUUCUGAACCAUAUGGUUUUAUAUUCUAUACUCUCUAUGUUUUAUUAUCCAAAAGUAUAUUUUUCUACUGUGUUCUAGCACACAGUCUACUGUAUAUGUAUGAAUGAAAUAAUGUCUUUUUCCACAGUGAUGCAAAGAACUUUUACUUUUUUUCACAAAAAGAGCAUGUCUGUGUUGCGAAAUCAAGCUUUUUGUGCAUAUCAAACUGUUUAUAGUUUGUACACAGCAAACUGUAAGUAGAUACAAUCCUUUUAAACUUGUGAGUUACUUAAAAAAAAAGAUCUUCUUAAUUAGAAAGAUCAAUCUAUUUUCACCUGUCAUUUGAAGUAAUAACCCGGUUGCAUGACUUUGGGACAGCACAUAUACUUGAGUAGGAGAACGUUAACUCCAAUAUUCAUGGAAACCUACAAAGGCAAAACUGUCCCUUUCUCAGUGCUAAGUGUGGGGCUCUGCUUUGUAAAAACAGCUGGAGAGAAUCACAGGAGGCUGUGUUUGUCCCUCCACAGCCAUAGCAUGCAUGGAACAUCUUGACUACAAGUGCUAGAGGAAUGUUUUAGAGUCAGACUCCAAAUUCUAGAUCUUCAACCACGUGAUUACAGUGGGGGCAGCCACAUUUAUAAAGUGAGACCCUCCUCCCCUCUGCGACCACACUGAUUGGGCCAGGCAAAAGCACCUGACCAAAGUUGAGCCAAUGAGCCUCUUGCAUUUGAAACUACCAAAAAUGGAGACUGAAAGAGCUUAGUUUUGAGUUGGAUGUAUUUGACUGUAGGGUAUGUAAUUUCGGAAGAAGAUGCCAGGAUCUUUUUCUCUUCAUCAGGUGGGAAAUUGAAGGCUCAUCUGCAAUGAUGAAGAAUGAGAAGCCCCCUGGAGGGAAGCAAGGCUGAGAGACAGAAGAGAGACUGUCCUAGGGUCCAAUUAGAGGGUAGGACUGUGGUUCAUUGAAGUGGGAGGACCAAGGGGUCCCCUGGUCCUCUGCUUCCAAGAGUCCCCAUAUACUGGUAACCAAAUCUCUCCUUCCCUUUAUUUCCAAAAUUCCCCCGAUGGGUUUUCUGCUAUUUGUAAUCAAAAUAUUCCUGACCACAAGUCACAAUACUAAAUAUUUUCGAAAUCCAAAGCAAUACAAGGAGAGUGUGAAUUUAAUUAUUAUCUUCAUUUUAAUUCAUGGAGAGUUAGAAAUGUUCAUUUGAGACAUAUCGGGAGUGGGCAGUGGCAAGCUUUAAGCUUACAUCCGCCUCUUUUGAAAACUUUCACCACGUUGAGGUGUGUAUGCUCUUGAAAAAGAGUGGCAAACCUAGGAAAACGGAUUCUCGGUUGAUAUAAAACUAAGUUCCAGAAAAACAAUCUAAAUAGGUACUUCAAAUUAAUAGAGGAAAAAACAUACAAACGAAAUCAGAUAUAAUUGCCAGAAAAUCCUGUCGCAGAUGAAGGUGUUUCUUGCUCUCCUGCUCCCCGAGCUCCUGAUGCUUUUGGUUGUCACCAUCAGGAAUGAAGACGGUAUCUCAUUAACCAGUGAGAUUUUCCUUGAACACUACCUCCUCCCCAAAUAAAAUAAAUUGGGCCUAAAAAAAUAAUUAUUAACAGCUGAUCUGAGGUUUCAGGGGGCAGAGAUUGUGAAAAUAAUGAAGUCAUGAGAGGAUUUCCCGUGAAGCGCAUCAGUGCGAGCGGUUCACACUGUCGUUCAUGGUUCGGCAUCACCCUGUGAGGUGUGUUUCAUUCCAAAGAUGAGGCUACCACAAAAAUAGUUUUGGAAUGAUCCAUCUGAAAUCGUUCAGCUUCAACAAUGCCUUUCCUCCGUAACAUGGGAAAGGUGAUUG
rnacentral:lncRNA from 1 species